UUUAUCCCACUAUCAUAGAACUACAAAAUGAGUUUCAAAUUCGCGAUUUAAAGAAAGAUUUUAAGAGGUUUAUGAAUGCUGCAUGACUGUGACGUGUUUAAAUGGACGCGCGCGCUGAAUACUGGAGUCUCAUUCAAACUGGAGCGGAGGGAGUUGCCAUGGAAACGGUGCACAACACUGUAACUGACGAACAGUAAAUCUCCGUCUCUCGCUGCUGUUUUCACUGCUUUCAGGUGAGUUUAGUCCCUAAAAUCACACAAAUAUCACACACAACUGUUCCAGACACUUUCUUACAUGUAACUGACAUGUUUCUGUUGAAUAUUUACUUCACAGAAAUGUUUUACAGUCUUCGAAAAAGUCUGCUAGCAUCUGUUUUCAGACGAGGAGUAAUAAUAUAAUCUUUCUACAAAGGAAGAGAAGCUGCAAAGGAAGGGAGCUGCUGACAGAAAUGCAGAAAACACAGAUUAUAUGCUGAUGGCCGUGCAGCAGAGGAGCACAGAGUCUCCUGUCGGACAACAUCUCUAAGUCGCUAUGUACCAUGUGACUAGAUCCUAUGUACCCAGCCUCAACCAUUCAUCAGAAGGACUGUGAAAGCGGGACCUCUUUGAACCACCAGUGGCAGUUUCCAUGGGAUGAAAAAGGGCAUAGUAGUGGAUGAUGAGGUCCUGAGACCAUAUGGGGUGAAGAUCAAGACAACCAAACCAAAGGUGGACUGUAACCUGCUGAACUAUAUGAUAGACUUCAUACUGACCACUACUGCCAUGUAUGCAGCAUGAAAACUUUUUGAAAAGAGGGGCAUUUCCUUCAAGUAAAAGUGUGGAGGAUUCAUCUGGCCUUCAUCGGCCCCCAUGAGGUGACUCGAUGUAGAAUAAAUCAGCUUGCUUUAGGCUGAAAUGACUGAAAUCUUCUCAUGUGAGUUGAUAUCAUUUUAAACAUUCUUUAAAGUACUUCUCAUUUCUUGUGAAUGUAUUUUGUAGUAUGUGUAAAACUUUUCCACUGAAAGAACCUUUUUUACCUUCAUUGAUAUUGUAAUCAAGGUUGUUAAUGCGAUGGACUGCACACAUCUGCCUGUGUUGGGCUUGUGUUUACAGGUUGUAUAAAACUAGGCCUGGCUGGAACAACUAAUCGAUAAUUAAAAUAAUCAUCAACGAAUUUGAAUAGUGCAUCAAAACAAACAGACCGCUCAUAAUUCUGACUAAAAUACACAUUUUGCUUAAAUAUUUUUUUGUUAGAAAUUAAGUGUAGGUUUAAAACCCUACAUGUAACACAAGUAAUCAUAUUUAUGAGAGCAGUAACAGUAAAGGCACUAUUGUUGGAACUGUCCAUUGUCACGGUGCACACAGCAGGGAUGAACGAGGAACACGGAGACGAGGAUGAACUUCAAAAUAACAGUCUUUAAUGAGGACAUCAGGACAGGGCAAGACAAGGCAAGGUUGACACAGACAGGAACACCGGGGAAUAACGAGUAGACCAGACCAAAACUAACUAAACAGGCAGGAACUAAAUACACAUGACAAUCACUGAUAAUUACUAAAACACAGCUGGACAAGACUUAACUAAUAAUAACACUUAACAAGGACAGGAACAAGACCAAAUAUGGACACAAGAGGCGGGAACACAUGACAGAGGACGUGACAUCCAUUAAUAUAAUAUAAUAUAAUUGCUCUGUUCAGACGAAUGAUUGUGU